rnacentral:rRNA from 1 species
GAUGAACGCUGGCGGCGUGCCUAAUACAUGCAAGUCGAGCGAACGGACGAGAAGCUUGCUUCUCUGAUGUUAGCGGCGGACGGGUGAGUAACACGUGGAUAACCUACCUAUAAGACUGGGAUAACUUCGGGAAAGCUGAGAUAAUACCGGAUAAUAUUUUGAACGGCAUGGUUCAAAAGAGAAAGACGGUCUUGCUGUCACUUAUAGAUGGAUCCGCGCUGCAUUAGCUAGUUGGUAAGGUAACGGCUUACCAAGGCAACGAUGCAUAGCCGAACUGAGAGGGUGAUCGGCCACACUGGAACUGAGACACGGUCCAGACUCCUACGGGAGGCAGCAGUAGGGAAUCUUCCGCAAUGGGCGAAAGCCUGACGGAGCAACGCCGCGUGAGUGAUGAAGGUCUUCGGAUCGUAAAACUCUGUUAUUAGGGAAGAACAUAUGUGUAAGUAACUGUGCACAUCUUGACGGUACCUAAUCAGAAAGCCACGGCUAACUACGUG